GACGAACGCUGGCGGCGUGCUUAACACAUGCAAGUCGAACGGAAAGGCCCUGCUUUUGCGGGGUGCUCGAGUGGCGAACGGGUGAGUAACACGUGAGUAACCUGCCCUUGACUUUGGGAUAACUUCAGGAAACUGGGGCUAAUACCGGAUAGGAGCUCCUGAUGCAUGGUGGGGGUUGGAAAGUUUCGGCGGUUGGGGAUGGAAUCGCGGCUUAUCAGCUUGUUUGUGGGGUAGUGGAUUACCAAGGCUUUGACUGGUAGCCGGCCUGAGAGCGUGACCGGCCACAUUAGGACUGAGAUACGGACCAGACUCCUACGGGAGGCAGCAGUCGGGAGUAUUGCACAAUGGGCGGAAGCCUGAUGCAGCAACGCCGCGUGCGGGAUGACGGCCUUCGGGUUGUGAACCGCUUUCGCCGGUGACGUAGCGGGAUUGACGGUAAUGGGUAAAGAAGCACCGGCUAGCUACGUG
rnacentral:rRNA from 1 species